rnacentral:piRNA from 1 species
UACUAUUGCAGGACUUCCACUGUAGGAGC